UUGUGUGGUGUCAAGAAGUGAGGCUUAUGUAUUGUGCUAUGUGUGUGUGUGUGUGUGUGUGUGUGUGACUUAGUUGAAGACUUUUUCAAAGUCAAGAAGAAGGGGCUCACUUACUAGAUGUGCUGGAGAGUCCAAGUUAGAGAGAAAGAGAGUGAGUUGAAGAGCUCAUCUUAGAGAGAGAAACCCACACUUACGCUGAAAAUUGAAAGAAGAAUAAUAACACUAAAGAGGAAAUCAAUUCUAAUUGCUGAAAUUAAAGUUUGAGAUGUAGGUGAACAACUAGACGAUCGAUAUUAGAGUUUGCCUCUGAGUCCGCCCCUUUGUCAAGCCACCCAAGCAGUGCCUCUGUGUUGAGGCUUUAGUUUUAUUUUGCCAAGCUUGCUAAGCUUUGUAUUUUGUUAAAAGUCUUAUGUAUAUAUGUGUGCGAGGUAUAUAAGAUAUGUCUUGAGCAUGUGAAGGUGUAUUAUAAAUGUUUUAGAUAUUUCAGUUUAUCAUUUAUGCACAGCUCAAUGGACAAUAUUAUUUUGUUUUGUUUUCUCUUUAAGCCCCGAUAUUAUUUAAAUAUUUUGAAAUUUUGUCUUUGAGGCCAUAGGUAAUCUAUGAUUACUGGUCGGUCACCACUCUAACCUCUAGGGUCAAGUUAGGGUCGUGACAUAGGAUGUAUGAAAUUGGAUGAACACAUGUCUUGUGUGACCUUAUUGUA